rnacentral:misc_RNA from 1 species
AAGUCGUAACAAGGUUUCCGUAGGUGAACCUGCGGAAGGAUCAUUACCAAAUCCAAAAAAAACUUUCUAUCAACACCCCAAUGUGAACUGAGAAUGGUUUCGUCCCUCCGAAAAUUCUCUCUUCUUCGGAAGGCAGGACGGAGGAGGGAUGUUCAAACACAUUUUUUUUUUCAACCCCUUUUCAACCAUUAAAACCCAUUUUUUUAAUGCUGAAAGCAAACAAAAAACGAAACAUGAGACAACUUUUAACGGUGGAUCUCUUGGCUCGU